UACAGAGGGUGCAAGCGUUGUUCGGAAUUACUGGGCGUAAAGGGCUUGUAGGUGGCCAACUAAGUCAGACGUGAAAUCCCUCAGCUUAACUGGGGAACUGCUUCUGAUACUGGAUGGCUUGAGUUUGGGAGAGGGAUGCGGAAUUCCAGGUGUAGCGGUGAAAUGCGUAGAAAUCUGGAGGAACACCGGUGGCGAAGGCGGCAUCCUGGACCAACACUGACACUGAAAAGCGAAAGCCAGGGGAGCAAACGGG
rnacentral:rRNA from 1 species